AAAAAGGAAUUUGGCCGAAAGGGUAGACGUGGAAUAAUAGUUGACGUGGCAGGAGAUAGGCGAGGUCGGCGCGAGUUUGCCGUGCGCGAGAACGUGUAAGCAAGCGGUGGAGGUAUGGCGUGCCACAUCGGACUUGCUAUAACUACCAACUUACAAUCGCAAAUCCUGAUUUAAUUACCGGGAGAGAAGAAGAAGGGCUACUUUUCCGCCUCAAAAAUCCUCGGGUGCUGCCUCUCUCGCCAUUCAGUUCAAGGUCAGGGCGGAAGGUGCAGCAGGCGAUGACAUCUUUAAAGCCCGCCCGGGGGGGUUAUGCUUAUUCCUGUCCACAUAAAAUUAGCUGUCCACAAAAAAGACAUCCAGGUCGCACUUGGUUUGCAGCGAGUCAUUCUUCUCGCAAAUCCAAACUCAAAAGUAUUUUGUACAGGAAAAACCUUCUAACUCCCGGUCCGCCAUUUAUGGACCUCAUUAGCUCAAUCAACAAGUCCCCAAGAUCAUCUCUGUUUCAUCAUAUCGGCGAUCUUGAUUCGAUCUCCCAAUCACACCAGACAAACAGUUACCACGUUCACCCUCUACUCAAGCAAGAUCAGGCUAUGGAGGAGGAGGAGGAGGAAGAAUAUAUUAAUUCUCAAAAACUUGAUCAAUGGGUCAGAGAUUCUGCAGUUGAGGUGACUACAUAAUUUCUAUUGUUCAUAAUCUUGAUGAAGCCCCUUUUCUUGUCCACAUCUACUGUAAUGGCAACGGUACUAAUGGAGACGGAUCUACACCAAAGAUGAGGAUUAAAACGGUUAAAGAAAAGGCUAUAGCAGAUAACUGGCCCAUGAUUCAAGAAAAAUGGAGAGGAGGACGCGGCAUCCCAAAUGGUGUUAUCUUAGUGGAAGAACUUACGACUCCAUUAGGUGAACCAGAAACCUCCGAAGAAAUUGUAGAAAAAUUGGAUUUGAAUAAUCAACCAUGCUCUUCAACAAAAUUGUGGGGGAUACUCAUCCAAGGAAAAGGAAAAAGCUGUACAGCCUGUUACCUUCUUAAGACUAGUCAGGUUCAGUGUGUCGCGGGAUUAUGCACGCAUUUUUGUUUGUUGAGGGUUGAGUGUUUAGUAGAACAUGCAGAUAUUCAACUUAAGAAGGCCUGGCUGCAAAUGGGUUAAUUUCCUUCAGUAGGACCACUUUGUGGACUCUAUGUUGUAUAGAUGGUCAACAAAAUACAUCUCGAAUUGCAUAUGGAUUUUCAUCCACAAUUUUAAGGGCCUGAGAGCGAGCGAUAUUAUUGGUCA